GGCAGUGUGGUGUAGUAGCUUGAGCAUGAGAUUGUGACUAUGGAGACCAGGGUUUGAAUCCCCGCUCAGCCA